GUGAACUUGCGAAAGGAUCAUUG
rnacentral:rRNA from 1 species